rnacentral:lncRNA from 1 species
GAAGGUCAACCUAGAUGGAUUUUUCUUUGUCUUCGUAAAAUCUUGACCCGUGAUACUCAAUGAAGCCCAAAACUCUGUAAGUUUAUAUUUAAAUUGAGAAACAAGUAUCUAGCUGGAGUAAGGAAAAAAGGCUUUUUCAUAUACGAAUAUCUACAUUUUCCAUUGCGUGUUGCCUUUCCUCCCAUUCAUGACCAUAAAUUUCCACUGGAACAAGGAUAAAGGAUACAUUUGAGACAAGAACUAAAGGAUUAGAUUUGGGAUAUUACCCUCACUUGGUUAGAUUCUUGGCUUUAUAACUGGAAUUUUAGCCGCCAGCAUUUCUCUUGGAUGUGGCCAAGAGAAGAAGGGAUGGUGCUACAGAGAGAGAGAGGGAUUUUUUUUUAAUUUUUUUUGCCAGCUUCCUUCAGCUGAACUAGUAGAAAAUUAUCAACUAUACGUGCACCUCUAGAUUACAUAAUUAAAAAAAUAAAAAAAAAGGUUGAGAAAUUAAAUUGAACUGAAUAAUGGUACAACGUAAAGGAAAGGGUAAUAACAAUAAUUCUUACCUUAACAAAAUCAUAUUUGGAGAAGCUUUGCGAAUGGAGACUGGAAAGCUGCUGCUUUUUAUGUUUAAAAUCUUUGUCUUUUCUAGGCCUUGUCACUUUUUAAGUGUUGCCGCUGGAACAUUUUAUCGAAGAUCUUGCGCGCACGUUUGAAAGCUGCAUUUCCCUUUCUAUAAAAAUAAAACCUCACAUCCCAUUAUUUGCCGAAAGCUGAAUUUCCCUCCAUCCAAACAUAAAAUCCAUUAUCAAAUACACUUCUUCAUGCAACUAUUUUUCUUGAACCAUCAAACAAGAUGAAGAUUCAACGGACCUUCAAGAGGAUAGUGUCAUGCUGGUAAUCUGGUAUUAAAUCAUUUUCACUGCUGUUUAAGCAAUUUUUUUAUUACAGAUUGAGGUUUUUGGCGCACAUACGAGAAGAAAUUAUGUUCAAAUUAAGAAGAAAAGGUAGUGAAAUCAAUUCAUUAAUCCCCAUAUUAAAAUUUUUAAUAUGAGAUUAAACAAUAACUUUUAAUCACAUGUUUUUAUGCUACAUUUUAGGCGAUUUGGACUCUCAAUCUUGAAAAGUUAAAAAGAGUGUCUGAAGUUCAAAAAAAUUGUUUUAGACUAAUUUGAUUAAUUUUAUGAAAACUACCGGAUGUGAUUGCUAUAGACUCUUGUGUACAACAAGACACACAACCCUGUGCUGACAUUGUUUAAAGGCUGUACAAAUAGCUUUGCCAACUAACUUAAAAGAGUGGAUGGUCAACAGGUCAAGUACUAUUUAUUUUUGCACCCUCCAUUUCACAUUACUAAUUGGUUCCCACUAUUUACAAACCGGUUUGAUUAAUGUUCACUAUAUAGCUUCUAACCCUGCUUCAAUUUUUUGCAAAGAUCAUGUUACAUGAACAUUAAGAGCUACAUCGAAAGCUAUGUAAUGGACACGCGACACAUCGAUAUUGGUUGAGGCACCUGCCGCAACUCAAGCCCACAUGCGCCUCACCAAUCACGAGGCGCCAGAUGUUGAUUAUGUAACCCCUUAUGUUCAUCUAACAUUUUCCUUUUUUCAAUGCUUCUAUUUUUUUUUUUGUCCUUGUUUGUCAAUCAUUCUCUCACAUUUUCUCACUUACUUGUUUUUAAUCAUAUAUUUUUCAUUAAACUAAUAUUACAUAUGUAUCAAAAACUUUUUAUUUUUCUAACCACAUAUUUUAGCAUCAACUGCUAUUUCAUACUUCAAUUUUUUAAAUUGAAGGCACAAACAGGGCCUUUCUUCUCUGCAGCAAAAAGGAAAAGGCAAAAAGACCCUUGAACUUUUGGGCUGCAAUCUCCCCUUUCCGUUCCCCAAAAACACCUCCACCACCGUCGUCUUCGUCGGCCGUGCCACCUAAACACCACCAUCGGCUCUAUUUCUCUUUCUUCUACAUUACAACAAACAAAAGCAUAAAAUCCCUUGAACUUCCGUCUGCAAUCUCCCAUUUCCGUUCCCAAAAACACUUCCACCGCCGACAUCUUCAUCUACUGUGCCACCUAAACACCACCAUCGGCCCACCACUCAUUCAUCUACGAUUUCUUCCACGACGUCGUUUUACAACCCCAGCACGGCAUCCGCUACUACUCCUCCAAGUGAAGCUAAAGGAAAUGUCACCGUUACUGUACGAUUUCGGCUCCUCAGUUAAUGUAUUUCUUCUUUUCUUUAAAUUCGAUGACUCCUAGAUGUUGGUAGUAAGUGGGUUCCGCAAAUACGUAGGAUAGUUUCGUUAAUGGUGUUUGGAAGACUGAUUUUUUUGGUGUAUUUGUUGACUUGUUUGUUUUUGGGAUUCUUAGGUGAUGAUAUGAGGCAUAUUUUAGUUUUCAGUAUAAUCAAUUUUAGUAUUUCUUUUUUUCCAUGAAUUCUCUUUAUUAGGACUUCAGAAUUUGUUGCUACAUAGCUCGAGAUACAAGGACUUCAGAAUUGGUUGCUAUCAAAGUGAUAUCAUUAGCUGAAGGGGACCUAAUUAUAAUCCUUUUUUUUUAAUUGCAUAUAAUAAUACUACAUAAGUUUAGUGGAUGGAAUAUGAAGUUUGAAAUCUCAUAAUUAUAGGAUGGUUUUGAAGAAAUUCGUGGUGAAAUUGACCUAAUUAUAAUCCUUUUUUUUUAAUUGCAUAUAAUAAUACUACAUAAGUUUAGUGGAUGGAAUAUGAAGUUUGAAAUCUCAUAAUUAUAGGAUGGUUAUGAAGAAAUUCGUGGUGAAAUUGAGAUGUUGCAGCAAUGUAGUCACCCUAACAUUGUUUGCUAUCUAGGUAGCUACCAAGGAGAAGAAUAGCAUUGGGUAUGAAGAAGAUCAUCGGCCUUCAAUUAUAUAAUAAUUUUUUAUCUUUUUGGGAUGGUACCGAGACCAUGAUGCUGUGUACCCCCUCCUUUUGGUUUCUAAAUCAGAUGACAACUGUUAGUUAUUAACAUGAAUUUAAAUAUCUGAGAAUUUUGUAUUUGUUGGCAUAUUGUAAUGGAUUAUUUUGGGGGCAGGAGUGUUACUGACUUGAUGAAAGGCCUUAGCCUCUAGAGGAGUGUAAAAUAGCAAAUAUCUGCAGAGAGGCAUUGAAGGUACCAUCAUUUUGGUUAGUUAUAUUUCAAAAUCGAACUUUUUUAUCUUUAGUACAGAUUUGUAUAAAUGUGUCCUUAAAAAUGCUGGGAUUGUUAUUUGGUAAUAGGGAAUGAUUUUGUCCAUGAGAUAAUGCUUGACCAUCCAAGGUUAAAAUAUAUCAUGACUUGGCACGAAUGUUUUAUUUUAGAGUUUAAUAAUUACCACAUACUUUUCCAUACUAAUCUUCUUUUACUGAAAUGCAAAAGGUGAGAAUACCUGUUCCCAUGAUGUAUAAAAUAAGCUAAAUCAGUGGGUAAUUUGAGAAAAAAUUAUUAAGAAAAAAUUGUCAUUAACGUUGGGACAUGCCAAAAUUGACAAUAUGGACAUCUCCAAUAUAUUUCCUUCUGGCUGUUUCUUAUAUUUUGCUGAAACUAUAUCUAUAUUAUCUAAUGCAGGGUUUAUCAUACUUGCACUCAAUUUUCAAGGUACAUAGAGAUAUUAAAGGUAGUAAUGUGUUGUUGACAGAGUUAAAUAUUAUUUUACUAUCUAUGUUUACAAGAAGCUCUUGUUAAUACUUGUGCAGUUGGGUGGUUGAUUUACCUUAUGGUUCUUGAAAUCUUAGAAAGCUCUUUAAGUUGGAACCUGCUAUAUAUGCCAGUGCAAGGUAUUUUUAUUAUGUCCGUCUUCAUUUAUAUCUCAAUUGACAUUAUUUUUGCUUUGCUAUCUCUGUCAAAUUUGUAACCAGUAUCAUUCAGGCUUUUAAUUGCACUACUGUGAAUGUAGUCUGCUUACACAUUGAUCAUUCAGAUGAAAUAGAUAACAUGGUGAUAGAGAUAGGACAAAGACCUGGGUUCAUAUUUGCUGCCACCAAUUCAUGAAACUUUUGCAAGUGAUAUGCUGAUGAUAAAAUGAAUUCAUGGGGCUUUUGAAUAUCAAAUUUAAAUAAAUAAACGUGUCCACUUCAUGAAGGCCUAAGGUUUUGGAUCACAUGUUCACAUAAAUUUUAUUCAUUUGCAUUUUUGUUGUUAUACAUAGAAUUUAUCUGUCCUUAUUGGUUUAUCAAACAAUUUGUUUUACGUCAGAUAUAAUUGUGUGUAAUUUUCUUGUCCACUAAAAGGAUAAUUGGAAAAAUGAAAUGGAUAUUUAAAUAGUGGAGAAUACAAUGUUAUGGAUAUAUGAUUAUUUACAUUUCAAUCCUCAAUUACAGAGAUCAUGGGAAAGGGCAAAAAUGGCAUCAUCGUUGGAUGAAGUUGGUAGAGGUCCACUUCAUUUGCUCUAUUUAUGUUUAUUUAUAAAUCAAAAGAUAUCAACAGAAUUAUGUUGGAAGUUUUUGGUUUCUGUGGUUUCUAAUUGGGUGCUGAUUUAUUGAUAUAGUUGUGGCGAUGGAUGAUAAUAAGAUUGUAGAAUGCUAUAUAAGAUUUGGCAUGGAUGUGAUAUUGACAUCAGAAUCAUGUCGAAUUUGUAAAAUAAGUCCUUCAAUCUAUUGUGAAUCAUUGAAACUUUUGUUGGUUGGAUAUAUUGCUAACUUUUUGCUUUUGUAAAUUUUCUAGGCAUAAAGCAUUGUAAUAAAGUACAUCAAAAGCUUGGGAACAAGUACGAUAUUGUAUUCAGGUGGAUGAACCUCUUAGUGAACCUGAAAUAAUGGAUUGCAUGGUAAAGGCUCUUCAAGUAGUGUUUAUGCCAUUGUACUUCCUGGCUAAUGAAUUCAAUAGUACAACAAAUAACAAAAAAUGUAAAAGAUAGGGAUAGUAAAUGUUAAGCUCGUAUUUUAUUAUCUUUUCUCUCCAACAAGAUAGCAACCAUCUCCAAAAUGCGAUGCCCAAUUCCUACAAUGAGCAGUGGCGCACUACCAGUGUCUACUUGGUAUGUCAUUUAGGCCCACUCCAAACCAGUCUACAACUUGUGGUGCUCAUGCCUCGAGCUAUAUUAAAGCAUGUAGAUACCACUUAGGAGUUCAUAGUGGUCAACUGCACAUUAGUGUAUUUUUGUUGAAUUCCAAAGGUUAGUGUUCCAUAUGUACCUGGGUGUUAAGGAAGUCUUAUUGGUAGGUACGAACCAAUAAUAGAAUCCCCAGUGUGAACCAAUCCUUGGUCAUAUAAUUAUCGUCAGAUCACCCUUAGGGUGCCAUGAGUAUCAAGACUUGGAGUUGUUGGUCUAUCACCGUUUGGGCUAUUCUUAUGCGUCUCUCAUGGUACUUUUGAAUUGAAAUGAGAACUAAAUACUUUUUUUUUCUAAACAUUGUCUUCUCAUAAUCCGUGAGACUGGUUUGAGAAUUUGAAAGAGAAGCUCCGUAAAGCUAACUGUGGUUAUUUAUAUGGAAUUGAUAUAGGUCUAGAAAGGUAAAUCCUCAAUUUCUAUAGUUGCUUCAUUUAGGGAUUUAGGUAUCUAUUAAACAAUAGUGAAAUUGUUUUUGUACCAUAAUCAUGUAUUGAAAUAUAAACAUUCUAUUUUAAAGCCAUUUUUUCUCACUACAUGGAACCUCUUAUUGUAUAGAUGGUUUCCCCCGCCCCCCCGCCCCCCCCAAUAUUGUGCUGGAAUUUUUCAAUUUCCACUUUAUGUGUUCAAAAUUAGGCCUGUUUGAGUAGUAAUAGUGAAGUUCAAAUCUUGUGUAAAUUAUCACCUUCGAUUGUGAAACUUACUAAACUUAAGAUGUGUGUGUGUGUUUCAUUUGUAGGGUUCUUCAUUCUUAUUGUUAGCAUUAUACACUCCUCUGCAAAAGGUAAAUGCUUUUUAUUUUAUACAAUUGACUAAUCUUGCGAAAACUCCUGUGUGUUUUAUAGAAAAGAUUGGUUAAUAAAUUUUUGAAUAAAAUUUUAAAUCGUUAAAUUUCAUUUUGCCAUGCACAACAAGAAAAAUUAUGGCUACCUUGCAAAACACAAACUCGAUUAUUUGUUCUUAACCUCUUGCAGCCAAGUUAAG